CAGUAGCCGCGGUAAUACAGAGGGUGCGAGCGUUAAUCGGAUUUACUGGGCGUAAAGCGUGCGUAGGCGGCUUCUUAAGUCGGAUGUGAAAUCCCUGAGCUUAACUUAGGAAUUGCAUUCGAUACUGGGAAGCUAGAGUAUGGGAGAGGAUGGUAGAAUUCCAGGUGUAGCGGUGAAAUGCGUAGAGAUCUGGAGGAAUACCGAUGGCGAAGGCAGCCAUCUGGCCUAAUACUGACGCUGAGGUACGAAAGCAUGGGGAGCAAACAGGAUUAGAGACCCGAGUAGUCCCUGUCUCUUAUAC
rnacentral:rRNA from 1 species